rnacentral:rRNA from 1 species
ACCUACGGGGGGCAGCAGUGAGGAAUAUUGGUCAAUGGACGGAAGUCUGAACCAGCCAUGCCGCGUGCAGGAAGACGGCUCUAUGAGUUGUAAACUGCUUUUGUACAAGGGUAAACCUGAAUACGUGUAUUCAGCUGAAAGUACUGUACGAAUAAGGAUCGGCUAACUCCGUGCCAGCAGCCGCGGUAAUACGGAGGAUCCAAGCGUUAUCCGGAUUUAUUGGGUUUAAAGGGUGCGUAGGCGGUCCGGAAAGUCAGCGGUAAAAGCACGGGGCGCAACCACGGCGAGCCGUUGAAACUGACGGA